rnacentral:piRNA from 1 species
UAAGACACUGUGACAAUCUCCCC